UAAAACACCAGUUCCCAUAUGAUCACCAAAGUUAAGCAAAGUCAAGCCUAGUCAGUACUUGGGUGACCACUUGGGAAUGCCAAGUGCUGUAAG